GGAGGCGUAGCUCAGCUGGUUAGAGUGCCUGCUCGACAAGCAGGAAGUCGCUGGUUCAACUCCAGCCGUCUCCACCA
rnacentral:tRNA from 1 species